CAGUCGCCGCGGUAAUACGUAGGGUGCGAGCGUUAAUCGGAAUUACUGGGCGUAAAGCGGGCGCAGACGGUUACUUAAGCAGGAUGUGAAAUCCCCGGGCUCAACCUGGGAAUUGCGUUCUGAACUGGGUGGCUAGAGUGCGUCAGAGGGGGGUAGAAUUCCACGUGUAGCAGUGAAAUGCGUAGAGAUGUGGAGGAAUACCGAUGGCGAAGGCAGCCCCCUGGGAUAGCACUGACGUUCAUGCCCGAAAGCGUGGGUAGCAAACAGGAUUAGAUACCCGUGUAGUCCCUGUCUCUUAUAC
rnacentral:rRNA from 1 species